CACGCUGUAAACGAUGAGUACUAGGUGUCGGGGGUUACCCCCCUCGGUGCCGCAGCUAACGCAUUAAGUACUCCGCCUGGGAAGUACGCUCGCAAGAGUGAAACUCAAAGGAAUUGACGGGGACCCGAACAAGUAGCGGAGCAUGUGGUUUAAUUCGAAGCAACGCGAAGAACCUUACCUAAGCUUGACAUCCCAAUGACAUCUCCUUAAUCGGAGAGUUCCCUUCGGGGACAUUAGUGACAGGUGGUGCAUGGUUGUCGUCAGCUCGUGUCGUGAGAUGUUGGGUUAAGUCCCGCAACGAGCGCAACCCUUGUCUUUAGUUGCCAUCAUUAAGUUGGGCACUCUAGAGAGACUGCCAGGGAUAACCUGGAGGAAGGUGGGGAUGACGUCAAAUCAUCAUGCCCCUUAUGCUUAGGGCUACACACGUGCUACAAUGGGUAGUACAGAGGGUUGC
rnacentral:rRNA from 1 species